rnacentral:rRNA from 1 species
GACGAACGCUGGCGGCGUGCUUAACACAUGCAAGUCGAACGGAAAGGCCCGGCUUUUGUGGGGUGCUCGAGUGGCGAACGGGUGAGUAACACGUGAGUAACCUGCCCUUGACUUUGGGAGAACUUCAGGAAACUGGGGCGAAUACCGGAUAGGAGCUCCUGCUGCAUGGUGGGGGUUGGAAAGUUUCGGCGGUUGGGGAUGGACUCGCUGCUUAUCAGCUUGGUGGUGGGGUAGGGGCUUACCAAGGCUUUGACGGGUAGCCGGCCUGGGAGCGUGACCAGCCUCAUUGGGACUAAGAUACGGCCCAGUCUCCUACGGGAGGCAGCAGUGGGGAAUCUUGCACAGUGGGCCGACGCCUGAUGUAGCAACGUCGCGUGCGGAAUGCCGGCCUUCGGGUUGUAAACCGCUUUCGCAUGUGCCGUAGCGUUAUUGACGGUACUGGGUCAAGAAGCACCGGCUAACUACGUG